rnacentral:rRNA from 1 species
GAACGCCUGUAGCAAUACAGGAGUGGCAGACGGGUGAGUAACACGUGGGAACGUGCCCUUCGGUUCGGAAUAACCCAGGGAAACUUGGGCUAAUACCGGAUACGUCCGCAAGGAGAAAGAUUUAUCGCCGAGGGAUCGGCCCGCGUCCGAUUAGCUAGUUGGUGAGGUAAUGGCUCACCAAGGCGACGAUCGGUAGCUGGUCUGAGAGGAUGAUCAGCCACACUGGGACUGAGACACGGCCCAGACUCCUACGGGAGGCAGCAGUGGGGAAUAUUGGACAAUGGGCGCAAGCCUGAUCCAGCCAUGCCGCGUGAGUGAUGAAGGCCCUAGGGUUGUAAAGCUCUUUCGGCGGGGAAGAUAAUGACGGUACCCGCAGAAGAAGCCCCGGCUAACUUCGUG